GGGGUUGUGGCUCAGUGGUAGAGUGCUUGCCUAGCAAGCACUAGGUUCAAUCCUCAGCACUA
rnacentral:tRNA from 1 species